GACGAACGCUGGCGGCGUGCUUAACACAUGCAAGUCGAACGGAAAGGCCCUGCUUGCAGGGUGCUCGAGUGGCGAACGGGUGAGUAACACGUGGGUGAUCUGCCCCUUACUUUGGGAUAAGCCUGGGAAACUGGGUCUAAUACUGGAUAGGACCAUGCUGUAGGUGGUGUGGUGGAAAGAUUAGUUUCGGUAAGGGAUGAGCUCGCGGCCUAUCAGCUUGUUGGUGGGGUAAUGGCCUACCAAGGCGUCGACGGGUAGCCGGCCUGAGAGGGUGGACGGCCACAUUGGGACUGAGAUACGGCCCAGACUCCUACGGAGGCAGCAGUGGGGAAUAUUGCACAGUGGGCGCAGGCCUGAUGCAGCGACGCCGCGUGGGGGAUGACGGCCUUCGGGUUGUAAACUCCUUUCAGCCAUGACGAAGCCCUUGUGGUGACGGUAGUGGUAGAAGAAGCACCGGCUAACUACGUG
rnacentral:rRNA from 1 species